rnacentral:rRNA from 1 species
AUUGAACGCUGGCGGCAGGCUUAACACAUGCAAGUCGAGCGAGCGGCGGACGGGUGAGUAAUGUCUGUGAAACUGCCUGAUGGAGGGGGAUAACUCCUGGCAACGGUAGCUAAUACCGCAUACCAUCAGCUUUGCCCAGAUGGGAUUAGCUAGUAGGUGUGGUAAUGUCUCACCUAGGCGACGAUCCCUAGCUGGUCUGAGAGGAUGACCAGCCACACUGGAACUGAGACACGGGCCAGACUCCUACGGGAGGCAGCAGUGGGGAAUAUUGCACAAUGGGCGCAAGCCUGAUGCAGCCAUGCCGAGUGUGUGAAGAAGGCCUUCGGGUGGUAAAGCACGUUCAGCGAGGAGGCGUUACUCGAAGAAGAAGCACCGGCUAACUCCGUGCCAGCAGCCGCGGUAAUUC